GCGAGUUCUUUCGGUGUGGAGCUUCGCCGACCUCCUCCGAUCUGUCGACUUUGGUGGGCGAUUAGCGUGAAAUACAUUUCGCAGAAGUCAAGUGGAUAACGCUUGUGUUUGGCGUUUGCUUUCGAGGUGUGAAAUGUCGACGCAAAAGGCCCGGAGACGGCAGCGAUCAGUCUACGCUUCGCUCGACGCCCGUUUCAUAAACAUGGUGUUACUCGCAGCCGGAAUCCCGAAAGCCACAAGAAACUCGAACCCGGACACGAAUUUCACGCCAACGACAGUGGAAUAGGCAACAUAACGUAUUGGCACAAGUGAGGAGCUGAAUGAGUCACCACAAUACACCAAGUAGCUGUUCUUCCAGCGACAACUGCAGCACGGCAGCAAUCAACACUGAAAAGCGAAACAAGCUCCAGUGAAAACACAAAGUGCCGAUCAAGAGCCUCGGUCAGAGUGUCAGUAAGGAGUGCUCGCAUCAUUGUCUCCUGUGUGUU